CAGGAAUUAAAGCCCAUGUCCUGUAAAUAACUGAGCCUCUCCUGGGAGGAGCUGAAAGUCAGCACUGAAGGCAUCAAAGUCAUUGGAAGCUGGGGUGCUCAGCACCCUUCAAGAGAGUUCCAUGCCCAUCUCUGAGUUAAUCAUCCUGCUAUCAUCUCCUAUUUUUCUCAGUGGAAAUGAGGCUACAAAAGGUACCACCUACAAGAUGGCCACCCGUUCCGGCUGUUCCCAGUGAGGGUGAAGCCAAGCUGCCACAAUGGAAGACUGCCUUCACAGAUGGAAUAAUGCCACAGGAAAUCUAACUGGGUGAAGACUGCUGCAAAAUAAAUCCAUCAUAUCAAGCCAGUGAGAUGAACUCCUAGGGAAAACAUCUCAUGUGAAAGAAAGCCG